UACGUAGGGGGCUAGCGUUGUCCGGAAUCAUUGGGCGUAAAGCGCGUGUAGGCGGUUCGGUAAGUCCGCUGUGAAAGUCGGGGGCUCAACCCUCGGAUGCCGGUGGAUACUGUCGGGCUUGAGUACGGAAGAGGCGAGUGGAAUUCCUGGUGUAGCGGUGAAAUGCGCAGAUAUCAGGAGGAACACCAAUUGCGAAGGCAGCUCGCUGGGACGUUACUGACGCUGAGACGCGAAAGCGUGGGGAUCAAACAGG
rnacentral:rRNA from 1 species